rnacentral:rRNA from 1 species
AUUGAACGCUGGCGGCAUGCUUUACACAUGCAAGUCGAACGGUAACAGGCCUUCGGGUGCUGACGAGUGGCGAACGGGUGCGUAAUGCAUCGGAACGUACCCAGAGGUGGGGGAUAACGCAGCGAAAGCUGUGCUAAUACCGCAUGUGAUCUGAGGAUGAAAGCGGGGGACCGAGCAGCAAUGUUUGGCCUCGCGCCUUUGGAGCGGCCGAUGUCGGAUUAGCUAGUUGGUGGGGUAAAGGCCUACCAAGGCGACGAUCCGUAGCUGGUCUGAGAGGACGACCAGCCACACUGGGACUGAGACACGGCCCAGACUCCUACGGGAGGCAGCAGUGGGGAAUUUUGGACAAUGGGCGCAAGCCUGAUCCAGCAAUGCCGCGUGCGGGAAGAAGGCCUUCGGGUUGUAAACCGCUUUUGGCAGGAACGAAACGGUGUCCGCUAAUACCGGGCGCUAAUGACGGUACCUGCAGAAUAAGCGCCGGCUAACUACGUG